UUUCGAAUCGUUCACAAUGGGGGAAACCCUGAUGGCGCGACGCCGCGUGGGGGAUGAAGGUCUUCGGAUUGUAAACUCCUGUCAUGGGGGACUAAUGGUCGGGCUCAUACCCCGAUUUGAAUUAACCCCAAGAGGAAGCAGUGGCUAACUCUGUGCCAGCAGCCGCGGUAAUACAGAGACUGCAAGCGUUACUCGGAUUCACUGGGCGUAAAGGGAGCGCAGGCGGGCGGGUGUGUCAGAUGUGAAAUCCCGGGGCUCAACCCCGGGGCUGCAUCUGAAACUACCUGUCUAGAGAUUCGGAGGGGUAAGCGGAAUUCCUGGUGGAGCAGUGAAAUGCGUAGAUAUCAGGAGGAACACCAACGGCGAAGGCAGCUUACUGGACGAAAUCUGACGCUCAGGC
rnacentral:rRNA from 1 species